GCUCUCGCAUCGAUGAAGAACGCAGCGAAAUGCGAUAAGUAAUGUGAAUUGCAGAAUUCAGUGAAUCAUCGAAUCUUUGAACGCACCUUGCGCUCCUUGGUAUUCCGAGGAGCAUGCCUGUUUGAGUGCCAUGAAAUUCUCAACCUAACGAGUCUUUGCGGGCUCGGUAGGCUUGGACUUGGAGGUUCUUGUCGGCCUAACGGUCGGCUCCUCUUAAAUGCAUUAGCUCGGUUCCUUGCGGAUCGGCUCACGGUGUGAUAAUUGUCUACGCCGCGACCGUUGAAGCGUUUUGGCCGGCUUCUAAUCGUCUCGUUGGAGACACUACUCUUUAUGACCUUCUGACCUCAAAUCAGGUAGGACUACCCGCUGAACUUAAGCAUAUCAAUAAGCGGAGGA
rnacentral:rRNA from 1 species